rnacentral:lncRNA from 1 species
GGGGGCAAAAAGCUGCAGCCGGCAUCGCCUCGGGUCGUGGCAAAUUGCGUUCUGCUGAGAAACGGGAAGAAAACGCGUGGGAACGGUCGGACACGCAACAGCAAGUGGAUGGGAAAGGAGCCCUCUCCAACACAAACCUCAUUGACUAAUGGGGCGGUUUUGGGUUUCGCCUUCGAAAGGUUCGGAAAUCGGCAGCGUUCUGUUACCGCCCGCCCGGCUCCAGCCCAGAGCCCGCGGCUCUUAUCGGACACCGCUCCCAGCGCUCCCUUCUGCUGCUCCUCUCUCCAGAAACCCGCACUUUAAAAACACAUAGAGAGCUUUAGGUUUAUUUGGUAGGCUUAUUUCUAAGGCCGGAGGGGCAGAGGGGGGCCGCGUUUUCUAUCUUUCCUAUACAAUUCUUUUUUUUUUUUUUUUUUUUUCCGGCGAAAUCGGUGAAAAACGGCCGAGCGCUGCCCCGGCCCCAUCCCCAUCCCCGCUCCGCAUCGAAUAAACCCGCGGAGAUGUGCGCUCCUGCGCAGGGAUCGGGGCCGGGCUGAGCCCGACCCGUACGGCACAGAACCUCCCCGAGCCGCCCUGCCGCCGUUCGGCCGUUCGCUUCGAGCUCCGUUCCUUUGCUUUUAUUCGAGCGCUUCGAAACCAUUUCUCGUCUGAAUUUAUGGGGCUAAACGGAGCGUGAGGUUCGGAAAUCCGUGCCGUUUUGCUUCUUUCGGGUGGUUUGAAGCGAAAACUUUCCGUUUGUUUUGUAGGAAAAGCAGCGGGUAACGCACGCCGCUGGGAGCGGCCCCGGCCGCAGCGCUGCCCGCGGGCGCAGCCCCGUUCGCUCCGCGGGCGCUGUGGGGCGCGGAGCGGCGCGGCCCCGGUGGGGGCUGAGCCCCAACGUUCGGGUUCGGCCUUGGGAAGGGACGGGCAGGGAGAAGCCGCUCUCGUUACAAACCAGGGCUCCUCACGGCCCCGCUUUGCGUUCUUCACCCCUUAGCCCUGAAUGGACGAACCCUCAGGUCCGUGCUUCCCAAACGUCUUGGAAAAUUAGAGGAAGAGCGCAUUGUAAUAAAGGGAAAGGGACCGGGGAGCGCGUCCCGGGCUCGGUGCGGCCGUGGCACCGCUCCUGCGGGAGGCUCGGAGCCCACCGCUGUAAUUCUGCGCACUUGCUCCAGACUUUAGGGUAUUAGUUGGUGUUAGAGCCGGGUUUAAGGCUCCGUUCCGGUCCCCACGCAGCUGCCUUGUCAAUAAGGAUCUGUUCCAAGCAGACAUUCCUUCUGGGAGGACAUUGCAGCUCUUUAAGACUUCAUCUGCAACAUCACAAGCACUAAAAUAAAAUGGAAGGGAAAAUUAGCAGACACGCGGUCACGGGACACGGCGGUGCCCGAGCGGUGCAGAGCGGACAGACGGGCGGCAGCGCCUUAUUUAACCGCCCCGAGAAGAGAAAUACGUGGGAAAAACAACCACCGGGGCACGGGGGGACGGCGGCGGGGCCUGCGGCCGGGG